rnacentral:rRNA from 1 species
AUGAAACAUCUUAGCUGGAACUGCUGGGGGCUUGGGAACCCCGAGGCAGUUCGCGAGCUUCGCAAAAUUGUGAAGCAAGAAGGGCCCGACUUACUCUUUGUGAUGGAGACGAAGAUUAGGGCGAAGAUAGUUGAAAUUCUUAAGCAUACACUCGGGUUUUCGGGUUGUUUUGCUGUUGAUAGUGUGGUGCUUAGUGGCGGCCUCGGUUUGUUUUGGUCGAGUGAUAUUUCUGUUGAUCUUAAGAGUUAUAGUUCCGGCCAUAUCGAUGUGGUGGCUCGGAAAGGUGGUCCCCCCUCGCACGAAUGGAGAUUCACGGGGUUCUACGGAGCACCGAGGAGUGAGGAUCGACACCAUAGUUGGAACUGCUUGAGACGGUUGCAUGCAAUACCGCAUCAAGCAUGGCUAUGUCUUGGUGAUUUCAACGAAACGCAGUAUGCCACAGAACACUUUAGUAGAGCUCAGAGGGCGGAGUCGCAGAUGUGUGCAUUUCAGGAUGUUCUGGAUGAUUGCUGCCUACAGGAUCUUGGGUUCUCAGGGGUGCCAUAUACAUGGGAUAAUGGUCAGGCCGGCGAGAUGAACGUGAAAGCCCGUCUGGAUAGAGGGGUGGACAAUGAAGCUUUUCUUCAGAGCUUCGAGUUCGCACGGGUGAGACACAUUAGCUCGGUUUAG